GUGAGUUUCAAGUCAUUUGUUAAUAUGUCUAAUUUGCCAUCAUGGUUUUCAUGCUAAUGUAGUUUGUCAUUUGCAUGAAUGCAGUUUACAACUUUACACUCAAAAUUGUUUGCUGGUUAUUGGUCAGAUUUAGCCCAGCGUUCAUGGCUAGAUCUACCAAUAGCAUUGGAAUCACCUUUUUUCUGUGCUUUUCUGGCCGUUUGGCUGAAGUUGAGAUUUAGUUCAUGACCCCUUGCACCUGUAGAAGUUAGAUUUCCUCUGUUGUGUGUCGGUUCUGAGACAUGCCAGUAUGUUGCUGAAGGUGAAAUACCAAGGUACCAAGAAGUCCAUCCGAUUACACUCUGGCUUCACCUGUUUGGAUUUCAUCAGUGAAGUCAAAGACAAGUUUGGGACUCCCAGUUGCAUCUGAACUGCACAUUUGUGAUGAAAGUGACACGACAGUGGAGGAAGACAUCCUUCUUGAACUGAUGGAGGCCAAUCCUGACUUAUGCCUGACAGUACGUGACAGUGAGUCUGAUGAAGAUCAAUCAGCAUCAUCUUCCCUCACGGAUACCCUGUCACCUUCAAGUGACCAUGACCUCUUUAGUCGACACUCCAGAGACAGACCUGUUCAUAACUUCAGAGACGGGAACCCACCUACCACAGUGUUUU